GACGAACGCUGGCGGCGUGCUUAACACAUGCAAGUCGAACGGAAAGGCCCUGCUUUUGUGGGGUGCUCGAGUGGCGAACGGGUGAGUAACACGUGAGUAACCUGCCCUUGGCUUUGGGAUAACUUCAGGAAACUGGGGCUAAUACCGGAUAGGAGCUCCUGCUGCAUGGUGGGGGUUGGAAAGUUUCGGCGGUUGGGGAUGGACUCGCGGCUUAUCAGCUUGUUGGUGGGGUAGUGGCUUACCAAGGCUUUGACGGGUAGCCGGCCUGAGAGGGUGACCGGCCACAUUGGGACUGAGAUACGGCCCAGACUCCUACGGGAGGCAGCAGUGGGGAAUAUUGCACAAUGGGCGGAAGCCUGAUGCAGCAACGCGGCGUGCGGGAUGACGGCCUUCGGGUUGUAAACCGCUUUCGCCUGUGACGAAGCGUGAGUGACGGUAAUGGGUAAAGAAGCACCGGCUAACUACGUG
rnacentral:rRNA from 1 species